rnacentral:rRNA from 1 species
CAGUAGCCGCGGUAAUACGUAGGUCCCGAGCGUUGUCCGGAUUUAUUGGGCGUAAAGGGAGCGCAGGCGGUUUAGUAAGUCUGAAGUUAAAGGCAUUGGCUCAACCAAUGUAUGCUUUGGAAACUGUUAGACUUGAGUGCAGAAGGGGAGAGUGGAAUUCCAUGUGUAGCGGUGAAAUGCGUAGAUAUAUGGAGGAACACCGGUGGCGAAAGCGGCUCUCUGGUCUGUCACUGACGCUGAGGCUCGAAAGCGUGGGUAGCGAACAGGAUUAGAUACCCCCGUAGUCCCUGUCUCUUAUACC